GUCGAACGGUGAAGCCCCGCUUGCGGGGUGGAUCAGUGGCGAACGGGUGAGUAACACGUGAGCAACCUGCCCCUGACUCUGGGAUAAGCGCUGGAAACGGCGUCUAAUACUGGAUACGAGACGUGAUCGCAUGGUCAACGUUUGGAAAGAUUUUUCGGUUGGGGAUGGGCUCGCGGCCUAUCAGCUUGUUGGUGAGGUAAUGGCUCACCAAGGCGUCGACGGGUAGCCGGCCUGAGAGGGUGACCGGCCACACUGGGACUGAGACACGGCCCAGACUCCUACGGGAGGCAGCAGUGGGGAAUAUUGCACAAUGGGCGCAAGCCUGAUGCAGCAACGCCGCGUGAGGGAUGACGGCCUUCGGGUUGUAAACCUCUUUUAGCAGGGAAGAAGCGAGAGUGACGGUACCUGCAGAAAAAGCACCGGCUAACUACGUGCCAGCAGCCGCGGUAAUACGUAGGGUGCAAGCGUUAUCCGGAAUUAUUGGGCGUAAAGAGCUCGUAGGCGGUUUGUCGCGUCUGCUGUGAAAUCUGGGGGCUCAACCCCCAGCCUGCAGUGGGUACGGGCAGACUAGAGUGCGGUAGGGGAGAUUGGAAUUCCUGGUGUAGCGGUGGAAUGCGCAGAUAUCAGGAGGAACACCGAUGGCGAAGGCAGAUCUCUGGGCCGUAACUGACGCUGAGGAGCGAAAGGGUGGGGAGCAAACAGGCUUAGAUACCCUGGUAGUCCACCCCGUAAACGUUGGGAACUAGUUGUGGGGUCCAUUCCACGGAUUCCGUGACGCAGCUAACGCAUUAAGUUCCCCGCCUGGGGA
rnacentral:rRNA from 1 species